AGGCCUUGAAAACCUGGGAGACCAGGUGGUCCAGGGGAACCAGGAGUACCAGGAACACCCUGCAAAGUACACAACAUGUAGAAGAAUCAGCAAGUUUUUCAAGCCUGGAAGAAUGGGAUGAAAUUCCUGCUCAAGAACAGUCAUCAACAUGUGCAUCAGUAGAUCGAGAAUUGUUCUUUUGUUUCAUAACAUUGUUGGCUGAAAGCAAUGAUCUGCACAGGUCCUGGUUGUCCAGGUGGACCUGGCACACUCACACCUACACCAGCACUUUCACCUGGAGACCCACGUGGACCAGGUGGUCCUGGAACACCAGGAAGUCCAGACUGACCUUCUUCACCACGUUCACCUUUCAAUCCAGUUUAUUCGGUAUACGAAGAGUUCUAUCUUCUGGGACCUGAUAUUAAAGCAGAUGAUUUUUGAAGCCAUGUCAAAACAGAGACAUUUAUAGUUAAGAAGAUUGACCAGCUUUUCUAAAUGAAAUUAUAUUAAAUGAAAUCAGAUGUUAUAUGGAAAUAUGAUAUGUUUUGAGAGCUUGUUUCCAGAAGCACACUGCCACCAUGCUAUUAUGAGAACCUCUGCUGCCUUGACUUGACAGUCUGUGUUGAGCUCCAGGCCUGAGUUACAAGUAAAAGGAAGACAAAUAUAUCUACAAGAAACUGCACAUUCAAACUUUGAGUGGUUCACAGUCACCAAACAUGUGACAAUGCUUUGCUGCAAAACUCUAACAGAUCAAGUCUAAGUUUCACUACCACAAGCUUACUAUGUUUGUUUUCUAUCCACCCAACGAAUUUUCUCCAUGCUUUCAAUUUUUUUUUCCCCCCCCCCCCUUAAAGCACACACACCCACAAAUGUACUUGUAUUACAGUGAUGAUUUUGAUUUAUGACAAAUUUCGAUUAUGCAAGACCUUACAGAAUAGAAUGACUGUGUAAGUUGGGGAGCUUCUGUACUAUAAUACGUUCUUAAUGUCAACUAACUUCUACUGUAAUGCCACCUGCAUGAGGGAGGACAAUUGGUAGUACUGCUAGUGGUAAUUAGAAGAACUACUGUGUGGUA